UGGCAUAUUUCCAAACUGGCCGGCAGAGCCAGGAGGAAAUGAAGGCAUUAAAAACUAACUUUGGUUGGUUGCCACCUUCUUAGUGCUGAGACUAUAACCUUUGUUGGUUGAUUGAUAGAGAACAAGAGAGCACAAUCCUCGUUCCACUAACAGCUCUCUAUUUCAGUGCUUCUCUCCUACCAGAGGUGCAAGGAGUGAUCCUAGAACCACAGAUACAGCCAAGACCACGGAGAGCUUUUGACGUCAGGGGUCCACUUUCUCCACUGAACCCUUGGAGGCAGAAUAUCCAGCUUCUGGAGAGAGUUGGGAAAGGAUAAUAAACAAAUUUCUUUCAACUGGUAAACAUCAUACUUCAGCAAAAGGAACUCUUCUAGCAGAGCCUUCAUGGAUGAUAUCUGUCACACAUGCAGCAGCUGCAGUUUGGAAGGCAGUGGUGAACGGAGCCAUGCAUUAUAUCUAGAAGACACAAGGAUGAGAGAGCCACCUGAUCUUGUCAUUGAUAAACUUUAAGAUUUACUCUGGUGUACUCUUGGUCUGGAAACGGAAAGGCUCAAAUAAUGACGUAAUUUUUUCAGAUUGGAAUUUUACAUGGCCAUGAAAAUAUUCCUUUUUAUUCAGAAGACUGAAAUAGAGGAAGCAUGAGAGACACCUUUCUUUAAAAAGCAGCUCUCUGUAUCUGUUUCACUUAAAAGAUUUGUGGGAUUGAAAAUCACCUUAAUGAAGCAGGCAAACUUUUUUUUAGUAGUCUGGGAGAUCCAAAAAACAUAAUGAAACUGUCUUUUGUUGCCUGACACUGAAAGGAACUAGGAAAUAUAAAGGGUGAACUUCUUAAUUAUUCCCAAAUUACUUUUAAUAUUAGGAUGCACUUUUUUAACUUUUUCUAGUCUUGAGCCUUAUUCUUAUUUGUCAAGUCAACAAAGAUUCCAGUAUAGGAGUAGAGACGUCUUUGAGUUCAGUCUUCUAAAGUAGUAAAUACCUGUUAAACUUGAGGUAUCGUUCUGCAUUGCAGGCAUUCUAAAGUUGAAUGAUACUGAAAAAAAGAGAUAUUUUAUAGAGCAAAAGCAAUUAGUAGUAGUAGGAUAAGCCUCUGUGUGUGAAUAAGUGUUGCAAGAUAGUUAUCCAUACUGUCGAUAAAUUGAUGGCAGUAGUGAUCAAAAUGUUUUAUUUCUCUUUUUGGUAUCUAUUUAACUGGUCAGUCAAAAGCUGUUAAAGAAGUUUUUAAAAGUUAUGCAAUGCUGCCAGUUUGUUUUAUUUGGUAUAAAUUUUAAGAAUAGAAAUUCUAGAGAUAAUAAUAUGGAAGCAUCUAAAUGUCUUAGGAAUCUUAAAGGUUUUGGAAACCACAUUUGCUAGAUUAUAACCUGGCCUUUAGUCUUUCUCGGCUAUUUGUGAGACCUGUUUUCCCCUCAUUUAUUAUAAAUAAACUUUUGUAUGUACAGCACUUAAAAGUAAGUUUAAAAGAUCAAUUUGAGCUAAAAUUUCCCUAGAGAGCUCUGAAUUCCCAUAAACAAUUACAGCUUUUUACUCUUGAUUUGUUUUUGUUAAAAGUUAAUAAGAUAGUUGUUACAAACACAUAUAAAUUAAAAAACAACUACUCACUCAACAUUUUAGAAAGAACUCAGGGAACUGAAAGUGAGAUUUGCUUGGAAAUUUAGUUGAACUCUUUGAACCACAAUACAAACGAGUUUAUGGCCUGUGAGGUUAUUAGCCUUUUGUUUCAGUUUUGAAGAAGUGAUUUAAACUCUUAAUCCCGUUAAUCU